rnacentral:rRNA from 1 species
AAGACCUUGCACUUUUGGAGCGGCCGAUGUCUGAUUAGCUAGUUGGUGGGGUAAUGGCCUACCAAAGCUUCGAUCAGUAGCUGGUCUGAGAGGACGGCCAGCCACACUGGGACUGAGACACGGCCCAGACUCCUACGGGAGGCAGCAGUGGGGAAUUUUGGACAAUGGGCGCAAGCCUGAUCCAGCCAUGCCGCGUGAGUGAAGAAGGCCUUCGGGUUGUAAAGCCCUUUCAGUCGGGAAGAAAAGGUUGCGACUAAUAAUCGCAAUUCAUGACGGUACCGAAAGAAGAAGCACCGGCUAACUACGUGCCAGCAGCCGCGGUAAUACGUAGGGUGCGAGCGUUAAUCGGAAUUACUGGGCGUAAAGGGUGCGCAGGCGGUUUUGUAAGUCAGAUGUGAAAUCCCCGGGCUUAACCUGGGAACU